GGUUAAGCGACUAAGCGUACACGGUGGAUGCCCUGGCAGUCAGAGGCGAUGAAGGACGUGCUAAUCUGCGAUAAGCGUCGGUAAGGUGAUAUGAACCGUUAUAACCGGCGAUUUCCGAAUGGGGAAACCCAGUGUGUUUCGACACACUAUCAUUAACUGAAUCCAUAGGUUAAUGAGGCGAACCGGGGGAACUGAAACAUCUAAGUACCCCGAGGAAAAGAAAUCAACCGAGAUUCCCCCAGUAGCGGCGAGCGAACGGGGAGCAGCCCAGAGCCUGAAUCAGUGUGUGUGUUAGUGGAAGCGUCUGGAAAGGCGCGCGAUACAGGGUGACAGCCCCGUACACAAAAAUGCACAUGCUGUGAGCUCGAUGAGUAGGGCGGGACACGUGGUAUCCUGUCUGAAUAUGGGGGGACCAUCCUCCAAGGCUAAAUACUCCUGACUGACCGAUAGUGAACCAGUACCGUGAGGGAAAGGCGAAAAGAACCCCGGCGAGGGGAGUGAAAAAGAACCUGAAACCGUGUACGUACAAGCAGUGGGAGCACGCUUAGGCGUGUGACUGCGUACCUUUUGUAUAAUGGGUCAGCGACUUAUAUUCUGUAGCAAGGUUAACCGAAUAGGGGAGCCGAAGGGAAACCGAGUCUUAACUGGGCGUUAAGUUGCAGGGUAUAGACCCGAAACCCGGUGAUCUAGCCAUGGGCAGGUUGAAGGUUGGGUAACACUAACUGGAGGACCGAACCGACUAAUGUUGAAAAAUUAGCGGAUGACUUGUGGCUGGGGGUGAAAGGCCAAUCAAACCGGGAGAUAGCUGGUUCUCCCCGAAAGCUAUUUAGGUAGCGCCUCGUGAAUUCAUCUCCGGGGGUAGAGCACUGUUUCGGCAAGGGGGUCAUCCCGACUUACCAACCCGAUGCAAACUGCGAAUACCGGAGAAUGUUAUCACGGGAGACACACGGCGGGUGCUAACGUCCGUCGUGAAGAGGGAAACAACCCAGACCGCCAGCUAAGGUCCCAAAGUCAUGGUUAAGUGGGAAACGAUGUGGGAAGGCCCAGACAGCCAGGAUGUUGGCUUAGAAGCAGCCAUCAUUUAAAGAAAGCGUAAUAGCUCACUGGUCGAGUCGGCCUGCGCGGAAGAUGUAACGGGGCUAAACCAUGCACCGAAGCUGCGGCAGCGACGCUUAUGCGUUGUUGGGUAGGGGAGCGUUCUGUAAGCCUGUGAAGGUGUGCUGUGAGGCAUGCUGGAGGUAUCAGAAGUGCGAAUGCUGACAUAAGUAACGAUAAAGCGGGUGAAAAGCCCGCUCGCCGGAAGACCAAGGGUUCCUGUCCAACGUUAAUCGGGGCAGGGUGAGUCGACCCCUAAGGCGAGGCCGAAAGGCGUAGUCGAUGGGAAACAGGUUAAUAUUCCUGUACUUGGUGUUACUGCGAAGGGGGGACGGAGAAGGCUAUGUUGGCCGGGCGACGGUUGUCCCGGUUUAAGCGUGUAGGCUGGUUUUCCAGGCAAAUCCGGAAAAUCAAGGCUGAGGCGUGAUGACGAGGCACUACGGUGCUGAAGCAACAAAUGCCCUGCUUCCAGGAAAAGCCUCUAAGCAUCAGGUAACAUCAAAUCGUACCCCAAACCGACACAGGUGGUCAGGUAGAGAAUACCAAGGCGCUUGAGAGAACUCGGGUGAAGGAACUAGGCAAAAUGGUGCCGUAACUUCGGGAGAAGGCACGCUGAUAUGUAGGUGAAGUCCCUCGCGGAUGGAGCUGAAAUCAGUCGAAGAUACCAGCUGGCUGCAACUGUUUAUUAAAAACACAGCACUGUGCAAACACGAAAGUGGACGUAUACGGUGUGACGCCUGCCCGGUGCCGGAAGGUUAAUUGAUGGGGUUAGCGGUAACGCGAAGCUCUUGAUCGAAGCCCCGGUAAACGGCGGCCGUAACUAUAACGGUCCUAAGGUAGCGAAAUUCCUUGUCGGGUAAGUUCCGACCUGCACGAAUGGCGUAAUGAUGGCCAGGCUGUCUCCACCCGAGACUCAGUGAAAUUGAACUCGCUGUGAAGAUGCAGUGUACCCGCGGCAAGACGGAAAGACCCCGUGAACCUUUACUAUAGCUUGACACUGAACAUUGAGCCUUGAUGUGUAGGAUAGGUGGGAGGCUUUGAAGUGUGGACGCCAGUCUGCAUGGAGCCGACCUUGAAAUACCACCCUUUAAUGUUUGAUGUUCUAACGUUGACCCCUAAUCGGGGUUGCGGACAGUGUCUGGUGGGUAGUUUGACUGGGGCGGUCUCCUCCUAAAGAGUAACGGAGGAGCACGAAGGUUGGCUAAUCCUGGUCGGACAUCAGGAGGUUAGUGCAAUGGCAUAAGCCAGCUUGACUGCGAGCGUGACGGCGCGAGCAGGUGCGAAAGCAGGUCAUAGUGAUCCGGUGGUUCUGAAUGGAAGGGCCAUCGCUCAACGGAUAAAAGGUACUCCGGGGAUAACAGGCUGAUACCGCCCAAGAGUUCAUAUCGACGGCGGUGUUUGGCACCUCGAUGUCGGCUCAUCACAUCCUGGGGCUGAAGUAGGUCCCAAGGGUAUGGCUGUUCGCCAUUUAAAGUGGUACGCGAGCUGGGUUUAGAACGUCGUGAGACAGUUCGGUCCCUAUCUGCCGUGGGCGCUGGAGAACUGAGGGGGGCUGCUCCUAGUACGAGAGGACCGGAGUGGACGCAUCACUGGUGUUCGGGUUGUCAUGCCAAUGGCACUGCCCGGUAGCUAAAUGCGGAAGAGAUAAGUGCUGAAAGCAUCUAAGCACGAAACUUGCCCCGAGAUGAGUUCUCCCUGACUCCUUGAGAGUCCUGAAGGAACGUUGAAGACGACGACGUUGAUAGGCCGGGUGUGUAAGCGCAGCGAUGCGUUGAGCUAACCGGUACUAAUGAACCGUGAGGCUUAACCUU
rnacentral:rRNA from 1 species